rnacentral:lncRNA from 1 species
UGUUAUAAACCAGGCCUGGAUUAAGUGCUUUCAAUGGAUUUAUGUGGCCGGAUCCGUAAGAAAAUUCAGCAUCUGGGUUUUCUUUAGCGCUCAUGGGAGUUGCUGAAAAAAGAUCAAAAAGUUACUAGAGAGACUGACUGGCAAGCUAGCACAUGCUCUAAUACCAUUUAUAACAUCUUAAGCUCAAAUUUCCUCCCUACAAUAAUAACAUGUUGACCCGAAGAAUUGUUUCCUCUAAACUCAAAUUACUGGUCAUAAGCAACUUGAGUCCUUUUUGGAACCCAAAGAAUUAAUUCAUUUGACAUGUAUAAUCCAUCCACAGGUAAAGUCUAAUUUGAUCAAACCUGCAGUGAUCCUUCUUAAGUUUUAGAAGAACAUGUGUGAAUUACCUGUUGUCAUUAAAGCAGAUUUAAUGACAGAAGGAGACCAUGAAGGGUGAAAUGUUUUAACAUAAAGAGCAGCUCCUGUUGCAUGAGGGCAUGCCAUGGAAGUUCCUGAGAUGAUUUUGAAUGGUGCAUGGCGUUUUUCAUCUGGGAAAUCUGUUGAAGGUGCUUUCAGAGAAUAUGCAGCCAAGAUAUCAACCCCUGGAGCAGUAAUGUCUGGCUGCAAAAAGCAAAUGUUAAUGUAUUAGGAUUCAUUAAUUAUGUGUAGAUUAAACCAAAUAUACUCUUGAUGCAGAUGAAAUCUGUCCUUGGUAGAUAUUCUGUUCUAAUUUUAAGCAUAUAUGAACUGUAUAUUACCUUAAGAAUGUUUGGAGUAACUUUAACUGGUCCUCUGCCAGAGAAGGAGGCUACUAAGGGAGCUGUUGGAUCAUGAACGCUUAUGCUUUUAUAUAUUUUCCCCACUGGAUUUCUGUUCAAAUCAAACAUAUACCAAGAGCUCUCUUUUAUUUGUUUGUGGGGGAAAAUUACAUAAUAUAUGAUUCAAGACAUGCUAUAUUUACAUAUAUUAGGG